AGCUGCUCUGCAUCGAAGCUAUGUCAGGUCAGUGCCUGAUGUAGUCAUAACAAGAGCAAGACUAAACCUCCACCAUUACGGUCGCUGACAGGACUCAAUUGACUGACCAGCAUUACCCAAGGUGGAAACAUUG